rnacentral:rRNA from 1 species
ACGCUCGACACCUACGGGAGGCAGCAGUGAGGAAUAUUGGUCAAUGGGCGCUAGCCUGAACCAGCCAAGUAGCGUGAAGGAUGAAGGCUCUAUGGGUCGUAAACUUCUUUUAUAUAAGAAUAAAGUGCAGUAUGUAUACUGUUUUGUAUGUAUUAUAUGAAUAAGGAUCGGCUAACUCCGUGCCGGUAGCCGCGGUAAUCUGAGCGGGCUGGCAAGGC